rnacentral:lncRNA from 1 species
UAUUGUUCAAUGGGUAAGUAAGUUGGUUACACUCUUCCAGGCCGGAAAAUAAAACACCAGUACUCAUCACUUUUCCUGUUCUGGGGAUGAUUCAUUCAUUUAGGCAAAGCUACACAUCGAGAGUGGGGAUAUCCAACGAAUCAUCGAUCCCGUACUAGGAGACGACUACGAUAUUCAGUCAAUGUGGAAGAUAGCAGAGAAGGCUC